rnacentral:rRNA from 1 species
AUUGAACGCUGGCGGCAGGCCUAACACAUGCAAGUCGAACGGUAACAGGAAGCAGCUUGCUGCUUUGCUGACGAGUGGCGGACGGGUGAGUAAUGUCUGGGAAACUGCCUGAUGGAGGGGGAAAACUACUGGAAACGGUAGCUAAUACCGCAUAACGUCGCAAGACCAAAGAGGGGGACCUUCGGGCCUCUUGCCAUCGGAUGUGCCCAGAUGGGAUUAGCUAGUAGGUGGGGUAAAGGCUCACCUAGGCGACGAUCCCUAGCUGGUCUGAGAGGAUGACCAGCCACACUGGAACUGAGACACGGUCCAGACUCCUACGGGAGGCAGCAGUGGGGAAUAUUGCACAAUGGGCGCAAGCCUGAUGCAGCCAUGCCGCGUGUAUGAAGAAGGCCUUCGGGUUGUAAAGUACUUUCAGCGGGGAGGAAGGGAGUAAAGUUAAUACCUUUGCUCAUUGACGUUACCCGCAGAAGAAGCACCGGCUAACUCCGUG